AACGAACGCUGGCGGCAUGCCUAACACAUGCAAGUCGAACGAAACCUUCGGGUCUAGUGGCGCACGGGUGCGUAACGCGUGGGAACCUGCCCUUAGGUUCGGAAUAACUCCCCGAAAGGGGUGCUAAUACCGGAUAAUGUCUUCGGACCAAAGAUUUAUCGCCUUUGGAUGGGCCCGAGUUGGAUUAGCUGGUUGGUAGGGUAAAAGCCUACCAAGGCGACGAUCCAUAGCUGGUCUGAGAGGAUGAUCAGCCACACUGGGACUGAGACACGGCCCAGACUCCUACGGGAGGGAGCAGUGGGGAAUAUUGUACAAUGGGCGAAAGCCUGAUCCAGCAAUGCCGCGUGAGUGAUGAAGGCCUUAGGGUUGUAAAGCUCUUUUACCCGGGAUGAUAAUGACAGUACCGGGAGAAUAAGCUCCGGCUAACUCCGUG
rnacentral:rRNA from 1 species